GACGAACGCUGGCGGCGUGCUUAACACAUGCAAGUCGAACGCUGAAGCUCAGCUUUUGUUGGGAGGAUGAGUGGCGAACGGGUGAGUAACACGUGAGUAACCUGCCCCCUUCUUUGGGAUAACGCCCGGAAACGGGUGCUAAUACUGGAUAUUCACUGGUCUUCGCAUGGGGGUUGGUGGAAAGGGUUUUUCUGGUUGGGGAUGGGCUCGCGGCCUAUCAGCUUGUUGGUGGGGUGAUGGCCUACCAAGGCUUUGACGGGUAGCCGGCCUGAGAGGGUGACCGGUCACAUUGGGACUGAGAUACGGCCCAGACUCCUACGGGAGGCAGCAGUGGGGAAUAUUGCACAAUGGGCGCAAGCCUGAUGCAGCGACGCCGCGUGAGGGAUGGAGGCCUUCGGGUUGUGAACCUCUUUCGCUCAUGGUCAAGCCGCAACAAUGGUUGUGGUGAGGGUAGUGGGUAAAGAAGCGCCGGCUAACUACGUG
rnacentral:rRNA from 1 species